AACCCCUCCAAUCCUUCAAAGCCCAGCUGUGCUGUCAGCUCCUCUGGGAAGACUUUCUCACCACUCUGGUUAAGUACUGAACGCAAGAUUUGAACAACAGGUGAGAGCAGUUUGGAGCGCAAGAGUCUGAGCAUAUUUAUUCAAAAUUGUGUCUGAAUCAAUAAACAAAGAGCAGAAUGUCAGAAGCAAUGAGUGUAUCUUCAAGGAGUACAGCAUUAAAGCCCGGAUAAGCCAUCAAAAACCAGGGCUCCAACCCAAGUGAGCCAAGUGAAGAGUUGGAACCAAUCUUAGAGAUAGAGCAAUCACAGGAACUGAUGUG